GUCUGAGAGAAGAGGAGCAGCAGGAGGAGACGGACCAUCCUCCUCUCCUCUGUAAUGACAAGCUCUCAUCCCCCCCCUCUCUCUCUCUCUGUCUGUCUUUCUCUCUCUCUUCAACUCCUCAGAAACAACCCUCAUCCUCCAGGACUCUUCCUCAUCGCGCUCCUUCUUCCUUCCUUCACUUUCGCCUAUUUUCCAUCAUUUUUCUCCCCAUCCUUUUCUUUUUACUUUCUCUGAAACCCAUCCUCAACCCUCAACACCUCCAGAGAUGUGAGGAGAUAAUGAGGACCCCCUGCCAGCGCUGCUGACUUGGAAGAUCCGUGCAUCCUCAUCUUUUGCUCUGUUUUUUCCUCCCUCUCUCUCUCUCUCUCUCUCUCUCCUUUUUCUCGGAGGUUCAUCUGCCUCUCAACAAUGUAAGCGACGUACUGUCAGUUCAGUGAUGAAGAAGCACACUACUUGGCCCGUUUUCCCCGCAUCUUAUGUGCUCGCUCUUUCAGCCGGAGGGAAGGAAUGAAGGAUUUUGCGCGGAGGCAAAGUUUGAGGGCACCUCCUCACCUGCCCGCCUCUGCCUUUAACUGAUUACCAGGAAGAGAGCAAAAACAACAGACUGAAGAACUUCUGAGCGAGCUGACUAUUGUUCUGGCGUCUUUAUUUAUUCAUUUAUUUUUCGCUUGAGUGGGAUUUGGUCACCUUCCUGGAGGAAUUCGAGGUGCGCCACGCUGAAGGAUAUGACUUAGAACAAAGAUGCUGGCGUUGACAGCUGGAGUAAGGUCCGUGACUUGAGUGCUUUUCUCACUUCAAACUAGAAAUUGCCCCAGACUUAGGUGAAAAGCCGUCCAAAUGGGAGGAUACCUGGAGGACUGAGGCGGAUUCGGCAGCCGAGAUAAGAUGUGGAUAAAAAGGAGCGCUGCGCGCAGUUCGUCUGCUCUGAGGCCAGGCAGCUGUGUGGGGCACUGGGUCUGGAUCCUGCUGGCCAUGACUCACCUCACCUUGGACUUCUCUGUGUGCAGCCCCCUCAGCCCAGGGCCUGGGGAUCAAGCUCACACCUAAAUUGGUUGCUCGCUCCUGGCCUCGGUUGCAACCUCUCUGGGAUAUGCCCAACAAGCUUCACUGGAGGACAGUGGGCCCAUUGGCGCGUCGACUCCUCCACCCCGUUCCUCCACCUCAAGAGAACAGGGCAGGGAUGGGGCUAAAAUGCAAAGGUCAAAUGCACCGGAAGCUAGCACAUAGAGGACAAGCGGCAUGUAAGGAUUGCUGGUCCAAAUACUCUCAAACAGAGCCAAGUGAUCCUUUGGCUGGGAUAGUAGAAACUCCAGUGGCGUCAAGAGGAAAGUUGUUAAUUAGAGCCAGGAGGCAACUCAAAGGGAACAGCUACAACAAGCUUCAGGAGGGCCCGAAUGCUACGGUGAAUACUAAGGGGACUACUACGGUGCCUAGUUUCAUAGACUGGGGACCCACAGGGACAGAUAGCAAUGAUGAUGACAGCAAAGGAGAAAUCAAUGAAAGGCUAUCCACCAGGGCCUCACUCACGACAGUGGCAACAACUACUGGCACUACUUCAAGGGUCUCCGAAAGGACGUUCACUGUGGUGACCUCAACACAGUCCAAGAGUACCACUAAGUCCUCUAUCAGCAAAUCAGAGACUGCCAAACCACCAAAGCCAUACGGGGACACACCAGGUUUGGCAGUUCACCAGAUUAUCACAAUCACUGUGUCUCUCAUCAUGGUGAUCGCAGCCUUGAUCACAACACUCGUCCUUAAAAACUGCUGUGCGCAGUCUGGAAAUGGCCGCCACAAUAGCCAUCAGAGAAAGAUCCACCAGCAGGAGGAAAGCUGCCAGAACCUGACAGACUUCACGCCGGCCCGCGUGCCCAGCAAGGUGGACAUCUUCACUGCCUACAACGACAGCCUGCAGUGCUCACAUGAGUGCGUACGGACUGCCGUCCCCAUCUACACCGAUGAGAUGAUCCAGCAGACACCUGUGUACAAGACGGCUUACAAUGGAAACAGGCCCUCCCCCACCGAAAGACAACUGAUUCCUGUGGCCUUUGUGUCGGAGAAAUGGUUCGAGAUCUCUUGUUGAUGAGCUUGUAGGCUUUCACUCAUUUACCGGGAAAGACUUCAUGAAUCCACGCUCUGGAUCCAGUUGGAAACAAGAAACACACAAAAACAGCUUAUUUUGUAAAAUAGUGUAAUCUCUCCUCGGACACUUGUGAAGAUAUUUAUUUUUCUAGAGAUAACAAGCUGAGCAGCCGUGGAGCUGCUCUUCCAUCUUUCCCGAAAAACAGCAUUCAUUUAGGUAGAGAGUACAUAUAUAUAUAUCUAAGUAUAUAUAGAUAUAUUUACAGGACGUAUGGGACAAGACUGUGGAAGACAAAGGAGCCCAAGGAGCUGCUUUAGGUGGAAGUCAAACUAUAUAUUUCUGAACAAUGUGCCAAUAAUGCCACUAUGUGCCACAACUUGGAUAAAUGGAAGUUUUAACAAUAACUGAAGGACUAAACAAAGUGUGUUGUAUUAAACCUGUAUCAGUUCUUAUUGCUUUAUUUAUUUUCUUUUUUUGUCCUUUUUUUAAAGAAAUGUAAAAAAAAAAAAAAUACUUCAAAUGUAUUUGAAAAUGUUUCGAAGUAAUUUUGAGAAAUGUGUUGCAAAGGAGUCCAAAACAUAUUUCUACGAAUCACAAAAAAGAGAGUUAGAAAAAAAAUAUAUAGAUGGUUUAUGCUUUAUUGAACAAUUGACUAUAAAGACAUAAUUUGUAUUAAGUCCCAUUUUAAAACCAGAAUAGUUAUGUCUAUUUUUGUACACCUAGGAAUUAAAAAAAAAAAAAAAAAAAAAAAAAAGAGAGUCUGCCGCAGCACCGACAGUGGAAGUCUGGAGAACGGAGGACCGCUGCUGUCACACGCCCCCCACUCUUAGCUGAAACUAUUACAAAGGACCCCAUCUGCAUCUGGCUCACGCCAACCCAAUGCUCACGUCACUGCUUCUUAAUCAUGGAGGUUAAUCAAAACAGAUAUGGAAGGUAUUUGUGGUGAAGGUGUAUGCAACAGCACCGGAUUCAUAUAGCUUGAAUGCAGAGAGUCACGAGACACUGCAGGGAACUCCACGGGAUAUUCAUAGCACCUCAGGACUGUCCAGGUUUCAUGCAAAGUACAAAUGAGUCUCUUACUAAGCAAUUAGUCAAACUAAAUUCUGAUACUUGGUAUAAUUCAAAUGGAAAGUGGAAAAAAUGAGGCUCAAACAUCCUCGAAAAUAUAUGAAUCAGUUUUCUGGGUGAAGAAUGGGAAGCAACAGAGGAAUAAUCCUAUGGCUCAAAAUGAUCCUCAGCAAGUUUCCUUGACCAGAUGUAUUGCAAAGGCCACCUCUCUAUAGACCCACCUGGUCCUCUACCAAAAGGAAAGCAGUUCAAGGAGAAUAAAAUUUAACCAGUUUCAAUCCAAACAGACUGUUGAAAUAAAUUAUCCAGCCGUAUCUGAAAUAAUUCAAUUAAUAAAAGUUGACACUCCCUGAUUGUUUUGUUAAAGUCAAAGAUUAAGACAACCCAAUUACCCACCACCAAAUUGGUUGAAACAGUCUCUGAAGUCAAGUGGAGUGAACUGCAUGGUGAGAAGAAUAGCAGCGCUCUCCCAAGAGCCUCCUAGCACCAAUGACUUUAUUAUUAUUAAAACUUAAACCUCUGAUUACCUUUGUGCUACGAAGCUCUUGUGGAAACUGUCUAAUAAUCUACCUGUAAUUGUGCUGUAGGUUUGUACAAAGCACAAACACAAUUCUGUAAUUGUAAACAUUUUUUUUUCUUUUGCUGCAAACAGCAAUAUGUACAGAUUUAAUCGGUUUCACUGGGUGUUGGGAAAAUUCAUUUCCAGUAAUUCACAUGGGUCCUUUUUUUUUUUUUAAGACUUGUACACAAUUCCUAAAAUGUACCAAGAAAACAUGGCAAAUAAUUUCAAGGAGGCAGUUUCACACAUGACUGGCUGGAGAUCGUUUGGGGAUUCUACAUAGUUUGGUGCGAUUUUUCUUUUUUUAAUAUUAUUCUUAAUGGGUUUUUUUUAAGUGGCUGUUCAAUUAAGCAUUUCAUUAUAGAAAAGUUUCUUCUGAAGAUUUGGUCUCAUAGUUGGAAGUGUUUGGGAUGAAGAAACUGUAAGCAGGACAAAAUGCAGAGAAAUUGAUGUUUUCAAAAAUGAUGAACCUUUCUACAAUCACUGUUGUAAAGAAAGAAUUAUGAAGAAAUAAGAACUGCUUGUGUCUUAACACUUCCCAAGAGGCAAAGGAGCAAAUGGUAAAAAAACAAAACAAAAACAGGUUACCAGUAAAAUAGAGAUAUUCGCUGCUACGUUUGCACAUUUUCUCGCUAGCUGUUCUUCCGGAUUUUCAUUUCUUUGUUUUCAAGGCAGCCUGAAAAAUCUCUGAAAGAAUUUCAGGGGAAAUGCUGCCACGUAGUUUCUAGAACAUUCCAGGACUGUGGUGCAUGUGUGAAAACGCCUUACGUGUAAACGCGAGCCCUUGUUGAGGUGUAAAAAAUUGAGUUGGGAUCAACACUGUGGUGCAAAACUCCUGCUUUUCGGCCCAAAAAACAUUAAAAAAAAAAUUAAAUUAAAAAAUGGCUCUAAUGAAUAACGCAUAACUGGUUCAGCCUCAAACGCGUCAGGCUGUGUUGCGUCUUUGACAUAACAUAUAUUUUUUGAAUGAAGACUCUUACCUUCUCUAUCAGAGGGGUUGUGAAACCUACUGUAUAUUACACACGUGUAAAUGUAUUUUCUAUAUAUUUGCUUCUACUUGUGUACAGGUGUGUUCUAUUUUUCAAGGUCUUUCCUGUUGUUGGGAAGGCUUCGAGCUAGGUCGGGGAUAGUGUCUUUGUUUACAUGUGUAUCUACAGUAUUUCUUUCAAAAACACAAAAACUAACCUUGUGCCAAGCUUCUUCUCUGCACUUUCGAGCAGUACUUGUAUGAUAUCUUUAGCUAACCAGUAUAAAACUUCAGUAGAUGCUGCAAUAGUUCACUGGCUGAAAAGUGGAAGGUCUGAAAGUAAGAAUAUUGGGAGGCUUCAUCAGGUUCUGGUGCAUUUAUGGAUUGGCUGGAAAACCAAUGACUUGCUCUUCUCAAACACUUUUAAGUGGAAUUUAAUAUAAAGAGCACCAUCACAUGAAUAUUAAUUUAAAAACAAAACAAAACAACCGAUGCCAAGAAACCAACUAAACUUGAUCUAUGUUGAGUUCCUUCCAUCUGUCAUUCUUUUUUUUAACUUUAUUUAUUUAUUUAUUUUUUGCUACGCUUGCCCCAGAAAUUUUAGAAUUUGGCACAAGCUUCUCUGGAGGUACUGAAUCCAUCUACUAAUGAAGUACAUGAUGCCGGUGAUGUAAAAAUAAAAGUGUUAACUGAAUGAAUGAAAACACAUAGUCUGAAAACAAGUUCUUUUUCUCAAAGUUAUUUCCUGGUUUGUAAAAUCACCUGCACAUUUUAACCUGUAUUGCUUCAAUGGCAGUCCUGAUAGUGGUAUAACUGGGAUGUCUGAUUAGCAUGGAAAUACAGACGCUUUAGCAAGGCAACCUGUGUAGACCAGUUGCAGCAUAACACCAUAAAUGCAACAUAUGAACUCAUUUCUUUUCUUAUCUGGCUACACAGUUUACUUCCCUACAAUUUUCAGUUGCAAAUACUGAGGGAAUGAAAUAAAUUCUUCCCCAAGUCGGAUCUGAUUUUCUAAGCGGGUGCAUUUAUUUUGCGCAGCGGAUGAAUAUUUUGCAGCUUCUGUUUCCGUCACCUCACUCGCCUACGAAUACUUCCCCUCAGCACAAAGACGCUAUCGACCAGCAGAGCUUUGCUCUGUCAAGACGAAGGAUAAGACAAAUUUACAGGUCCUGUGAUUUGUGUUUGCAUGUGUCAAGACAUAUGGAGUGGAACUUAUCGACAUAUGUAUUGUUUAAACAUCUAAAUGUUGACUGAACAUUUCCAAGGUUUGUUUGUUUUGGUUUUUUUUUUUAUUUCCCAGCCAUAUCGUUAAAGAGCAUUACCAUAAGAGGAAGAGAGUCGAUGAAUCGAGUCGGCUUCGUUAUCAGGCUUUUGGUGUCCGACGAGCCCAGAAACGUGGCGUUGACAGCGACAAGGUGGCGGUUUGAAUUUGAUCAAAGUCAAUAGGGUGCUCAAUGAGGCGAGACUCUGCAGGAGGAGAGAAAUAUUUGAUGUGACAAUAAAUCUUACCGAAUCAAUUCCUUAGCUGUGAGGAAACUGUAGCUCCUCACUCCGCUUCUCCUUGUUUCAGGAAAAUCUCGUACUGUGCGCUUACUGUAAUCGCAGCAGAGGGCUCUGACUCUGCUCUUGGGUCAUGUUUUUUAUUUUUUACUUUUUAUUACUAUUAUCCACAAGAGCUAAAGCACUGCUGGCGCUUAUCUAUACAGUGAAAGACUUGGGAACAUAGAAGAAAAAACAUUUUUUGUUUGCAGCACCCCAGAUUUUCUCAUUACGCAUCGGCGAGAGGGGGGCAGUAGUAACGUGACCCAAAUCUGCCGUUGAUUCACACAGAAGGCCUCUAGCACUGUAAGAUGCCUUUUGCAGCAGAGUGCAGAUCCGAACUGAGUGGCAUGUAAAGGGAAUCUGAGAAGCAGGAAGGAACAGGAAGAGAGCUACUGCAGACUGGUGGGGAGCGUUUAGUGACGACAAAAUCGGAGGCUGAAGUUCAGCUAAUAUGGGAGAGAAAAAUAAAAAGUGUCAUUUAUUAUCAUACGUUGUGUUUACAGGUGGGAGGGGGGAAGUAAACGAAGAAGAUCUCUGGUUUUUCUUUUACGGGGGAACGGGGCUGCUCAUAACGGGAACACGUGCUUUGAUCAUUCACACUCGAUAAAAACUCAUUCAUACUUACGAUGAAGGAAAACGACUCCAGUUGUGUUGUCGCCAUAAAAAUGAAGAAUUUGUACUUUGUGACUCUUAAACUUUUUAUAUUCGUGUUUAAUAUAUCAAUGAGUACCUCUGUUAACUUUUCUAUUAGACAUAUGACUAUAGUAUAUAAAUGCACACACACACACACCUGCACACGCCACACACGUUAUACACCUCCAAAAAAAGGGACUCCAGUCUGUCUCUGUGACGGCUAAACGUUGUAUAACUUUUGUUUUGUGUCUUAUGAACUACAUCUCUUCCUUUUGUAGUAAUUGGUAAACGUUUCAAUUUCCAGGUGACUAUGAUUUGGUUAUUCUUGUACUACUAAGCUCUGUAUUUGCAAGCACUGUAAAUGCGAUUCUCACUGGAUUCGUCCUCUGUACAUUUAGUACUCUGAUGUUGCUAUUAAUAAAACAUAAAACAACAUGA